rnacentral:rRNA from 1 species
UACGGGGGGAGCAAGCGUUGUUCGGAUUUACUGGGCGUAAAGGGCGCGGUAGGCGGUUUGUUAAGUCGGUCGUGAAAGCCCGGGGCUCAACCCCGGAGGGUCGACCGAUACUGGCAGACUAGAGUACAGAAGAGGUAACUGGAAUUCCUGGUGUAGCGGUGAAAUGCGCAGAUAUCAGGAGGAACACCGGUGGCGAAGGCGGUCUCUGGGCCGAUACUGACGCUGGAGGAGCGAAAGCGUGGGGAGCAAACAGG